GCUAAUUUGUGGCAGUCUGUUUGUUGUGCCUAUCUGUGGCCAGCAUCUCCGCUAUAUGUUGCUGAUCGUAGAAUGACGAGAACUUACAAGAGAAAGCCAGGUUCAAGAGAGUACACUGAUUAUUGGAAGCUUGUUGGAAGGACAUACAAACAACCAUCGGUCAUCAUCCUGAUGACAAUCUGGCACCUCAACACUGCCACCAAAGAGGUGAUCCACCCAGAGUCUCUACAUUUUGGUGC